CUGACAACCGGUCCUGUUACUUCCUGGUUUGUUUGCUCAAGAGGUAGCAAUUGCUCAGAGCAGCUGCCUUGCAAAGACUUCUCAUUGAGCUGCAUUUUGACGUCUGUGAUUAAACAGCCACAGAAAGUCUUGGCGUGGUUAGAAGGGGAUGACACUGAUCACACCGGCCAUGUCUAGUCGUGCGGCCUAUAUAUUCCAAACUGCAAGGACAUCUUAGUAAGUAGAUUAUAUUCUUAGAAUAGCAUGCUAUAAAUUCUUUUAUAGAUAUAAUUUUGCC